CCCAGUGUUGAAUUAACACCCAGAGUGUUGAUUUAACACCCUACUGUGUUUAUCCAAUUGGACACAAAUUAACUCUGAAAGUGUUAAUUCAACACUGAGGAAUUUGCUGUGCAGCUAGAAAAGAACAACAACAAGAAGACAGAGUCAUCUAUAUCCCCCGCCCUAUAUACCAACUAUAUACCAAGUUUCAAGAUAUUAUUUGUCACAUUUUUCAAGUUCUGCUGCAGGAAACCAAACCAACCCUACCUCUUUAUACUGACCUCAGCAGCCCAUGGCAUAAACCCACAGGACCUUUGGUCCAGCGCGGGUGUGGUCAAGCACAUCCAUUUGCGACCGGAGGGCAAGGCUGUGGAAGUGUCAACCCCAAUCAGGGAACUGUUACACUGGUGCAGAAACCCAAGAAGCUGAAGUGAACCGCUGUCCAUGAAGUCCUUGCCGUUGCCCAAUAGAACCAGCACCAGGCGCUAGUCACUAAGCGAGCAGGAGUGGCACUUUGAGGCCCUGCUGCAGGCCCAGCAGGAGGACCACCAAGCACUCCUGUGUCUCGUCAUGCCAUGACAGCAGGCUUCCCCCGCAUCACCCCGAUGAAAAUGGGGCCACAUGAUGACCCAGCGACCUUUUUAGCGCUCUUUGAGUGAGCAGCGGCGGUGGUCGGAUGAUCCU